rnacentral:rRNA from 1 species
UACGGAGGGGACUAGCGUUGUUCGGAAUUACUGGGCGUAAAGCGCACGUAGGCGGAUUUGUAAGUCAGGGGUGAAAGCCCGGGGCUCAACCCCGGAAUUGCCUUUAAGACUGCAUCGCUUGAAUCCGGGAGAGGUGAGUGGAAUUCCGAGUGUAGAGGUGAAAUUCGUAGAUAUUCGGAAGAACACCAGUGGCGAAGGCGGCUCACUGGACCGGCAUUGACGCUGAGGUGCGAAAGCGUGGGGAGCAAACAGG